AUGAAAAUUUUCAAGUUAGCAACUUUUUCUCGGAAUGCAUUAGUGCGCCAUCAUAAAACUAUCGGGAAAUUUUAGAUAUUUUGAUUUCCACGGCACCGCUAGCCAGUCGAGGUCCUUCAGCAUCGGGUUUAAUGACCGAUACCGCGUCCAUCGGAUUCCCACGCGGGUUGGAGCCGAGGUUCCCAUAUACAUUGAUAUUUUAAUCGGUUUGGUACACGAACAUAAUGCAGAAGCAACAAACCAUCAUGUAGAGCUACAAGAAAAGCUACAAAAGCAUGGAAUUUGCAGUCUUAUUCCACAGUUCCGACUGCACCGAGGCUUCAAGCGCCGGAAGAACGGGGAACGGAAGAACAACUGCGCGAUGAACAACAGCCGGAGGGGAAAAUUACAUACAUGGAUCAUUAUGAAAACUUCAAAGAGCUCCGUCUCGGAACAUCUGUUUUCCAGGAGGAAAAUGAUUGAGAGUAUUUGAAAUAUGUAAAAAUUUAUUAAUAAUAAUACGUUUAACAAUUAGAUUGCAAUAAACUACAAAA